AGUGAACGCUGGCGGUAGGCCUAACACAUGCAAGUCGAACGGCAGCACAGUAAGAGCUUGCUCUUACGGGUGGCGAGUGGCGGACGGGUGAGGAAUACAUCGGAAUCUACUUUUUCGUGGGGGAUAACGUAGGGAAACUUACGCUACUACCGCAUACGACCUACGGGUGGAAGCAGGGGAUCUUCGCACCUUGCGCGACUGAAUUAGCCGAUGUCGGAUUAGCUAGUUGGCGGGGUAAAGGCCCACCAAGGCGACGAUCCGUAGCUGGUCUGAGAGGAUGAUCAGCCACACUGGAACUGAGACACGGUCCAGACUCCUACGGGAGGCAGCAGUGGGGAAUAUUGGACAAUGGGCGAAAGCCUGAUCCAGCAAUACCGCGUGGGUGAAGAAGGCCUUCGGGUUGUAAAGCCCUUUUGUUGGGAAAGAAAAGCAGCAGGUUAAUACCCCGCUGUUCUGACGGUACCCAAAGAAUAAGCACCGGCUAACUUCGUG
rnacentral:rRNA from 1 species